AGCAUGUGGUUUAAUUCGAAGCAACGCGAAGAACCUUACCAGGUCUUGACAUCCCCUGACAACCCAAGAGAUUGGGCGUUCCCCUUCGGGGGACAGGGUGACAGGUGGUGCAUGGUUGUCGUCAGCUCGUGUCGUGAGAUGUUGGGUUAAGUCCCGCAACGAGCGCAACCCCUAUUGUUAGUUGCCAUCAUUCAGUUGGGCACUCUAGCGAGACUGCCGGUAAUAAACCGGAGGAAGUGGGAUGACGUCAAAUCAUCAUGCCCCUUAUGACCUGGGCUACACACGUGCUACAAUGGUUGGUACAACGAGUUGCGAGUCGGUGACGGCGAGCUAAUCUCUUAAAGCCAAUCUCAGUUCGGAUUGUAGGCUGCAACUCGCCUACAUGAAGUCGGAAUCGCUAGUAAUCGCGGAUCAGCACGCCGCGGUGAAUACGUUCCCGGGCCUU
rnacentral:rRNA from 1 species